GUUAUAAUACUUGAACACUAAACACCAAUGAACAAAGUCCAAAUCUUGUCUAUCUCUCUAGAGAAAGCGUGUGACCCUCGUGUCGUUGCGGGCAUCUCUCCGAAUCAAAAGGGAGCUCUGGAUUCUCAUAAAUAAUUCCUCAAAACAAACUGUUGAUUUUUGCAAGGAAAAGGACAUCUCUUCAAUCCCCAUAGCUCUGAUCUGGCUGAAGGACAUUCUUUUCGCUUUCCCUUCCAUUGUGCAGGAAUUGUAUCCGGUUGCAAAAGAUUCAGUGUGUAAGCUAUGGUUCUUGAAGUUAAUAUAUCUUCACCUCAUAGGAGGUCACAGACGCAGACUGCAUUUUCAGCUUCAUCAUCAUUAAAAAGACAACAUUCACGAGAUGAUGAAUUUGGGAGCUGUUCGACUCUACUUCAGCGUCACCGCUUCCUGCUAACUGCGCUUGCCCUCCUAGCGUUUCUCUGCACUAUCUAUCUCUACUUUGCAGUCACUUUAGGGGCCGGUGACUCAUGUUCUGGCUUGAAAGGGACUCAAAAAGCAGCAUGCUACGUGGAGCAUGGAAAAGCAUCGAUGGCCAAAGGAAAACUCAAGCUCUUCUAGCACAAUGAUCGUUUUCUAGCUGAAAUAGCGGUUAGUUGAAUGAUUGCUCCUUUCUUUCCUUGUGAGGGGCAUACUCGUAUAGCUCAAUGUAACAUUCCUCCUGUAUUCUUUUAGACAUCUGUGCUAUAGUAUGAUAUAUAUAUAUAUCAAAUUGCACCAAACUUGGUCCAGGAAACUAUUUGACAUACGUGAAGAGUUCUCUGUUGCUAAGAAUUAACCGUGGAUGUUAGGCUCUGCUGUUUGAGUGCCAUUUUCUUGUGGCAUACAGAUGUAAACGACGAUGUGACGAUGAAUGAACUGGAAAAUAACAUUAUUGAGGUACAAAUGUGAAGAUAAUUUGCCAUUCUGAAGGCUUUUAAAAUCCUUCAAUGGACUAAGGAGCAAGUCACCACUCAAUUCCUCCAACUCAGAAUCACGUUUCCACUUGUUCGUUUGUUUUUCUUGGGAUAACUGCACUUUUGGUCCCUUCGGUCAUUUGGUAAAUUGUAAUUUUGAUCAUCGUGAUCAGCAUUUCUUCA